UCUUCUAUUUGUUUAGCUAGUUCUAGAAUUGAUAUUAAUAGAGCUUUAGUCUUUUGUAAUUCUUUCUUUAAUUCUUGUUUUCUUGUUAUAUCUCUUCUUAAAAACCAAUAGUGACACCUGAUUGCUUUAGUUACCAGAUGUUGUUUUAGCAUAUGUAUUAUCCUAAUGGAAUAUAUUUUAUUUUGUUCUUAAUUGAUCUAAGAUAAAUCCUUUCUUGUUCUAUUUCGAAAUUAAUUCUUUGUAUUUCAAAAAGUAGAAAAUUAUUAAAAUCACUUAGUUCUGGUGUACUAAUGUUACGUUGGUAUUGUUCUAAUGUCUUUU
rnacentral:lncRNA from 1 species